rnacentral:rRNA from 1 species
UACGUAGGGCGCAAGCGUUGUCCGGAUUUAUUGGGCGUAAAGAGCUCGUAGGCGGUCUGUCGCGUCUUCCGUGAAAACUGGGGGCUUAACUUCCAGCUUGCGGUGGAUACGGGCUGACUGGAGUGCGGCAGGGGAGACUGGAAUUCCUGGUGUAGCGGUGAAAUGCGCAGAUAUCUGGAGGAACACCGGUGGCGAAGGCGGCAUCCUGGACCGGUAUUGACGCUGAGGCGCGAAAGCCAGGGGAGCAAAGCGGG